GAACGCUGGCGGCGUGCCUAACACAUGCAAGUCGUACGAGAAAUCCCGAGCUUGCUUGGGAGAGUAAAGUGGCGCACGGGUGAGUAACGCGUGGGUAACCCACCUUCGAAUCUGGGAUAACUCCGCGAAAGCGGUGCUAAUACCGGAUAAGACCACAGCCGCUUCGGCGGUAGAGGUAAAAGCUGACCUCUCCAUGGAAGUUAGCGUUCGAGGACGGGCCCGCGUCCUAUCAGCUUGUUGGUGGGGUAAAGGCCUACCAAGGCAGCGACGGGUAGCUGGUCUGAGAGGAUGAUCAGCCACACUGGAACUGGAACACGGUCCAGACUCCUACGGGAGGCAGCAGUGAGGAAUUUUGCGCAAUGGGCGAAAGCCUGACGCAGCAACGCCGCGUGGGUGAAGAAGGCUUUCGGGUCGUAAAGCCCUGUCAGGUGGGAAGAAAAUCUUCAGCACUAAUAAUGCUGAAGCCUGACGGUACCACCAGAGGAAGCACCGGCCAACUACGCG
rnacentral:rRNA from 1 species